UACGGAGGGGGCUAGCGUUGUUCGGAAUUACUGGGCGUAAAGGGCGCGUAGGCGGCCGCAGCAGUCAGGCGUGAAAGCCCCGGGCUCAACCUGGGAACUGCGCUUGAGACGCUGUGGCUGGAGGUCGGGAGAGGAGAGCGGAAUUCCCAGUGUAGAGGUGAAAUUCGUAGAUAUUGGGAAGAACACCGGUGGCGAAGGCGGCUCUCUGGCCCGUACCUGACGCUGAGGCGCGAAAGCGUGGGGAGCAAACAGG
rnacentral:rRNA from 1 species